UACGAGGGGUGCAAGCGUUGCUCGGAAUUAUUGGGCGUAAAGGGUAGGUAGGUGGUCUCGUUUGUCUGGGGUGAAAUCCUUGAGCUUAACUCAAGAAGUGCCCCCAGAAACGGCGAGACUUGAGUACUGGAGAGGGUCGUGGAAUUCCCGGUGUAGCGGUGAAAUGCGUAGAGAUCGGGAGGAACACCAGCGGCGAAGGCGGCGACCUGGACAGUAACUGACACUCAACUACGAAAGCGUGGGGAGCAAACAGG
rnacentral:rRNA from 1 species